GAUGAACGCUGGCGGCGUGCUUAACACAUGCAAGUCGAACGGACGGAGGGAGCUUGCUCCCAAAGUUAGUGGCGGACGGGUGAGUAACGCGUGGGUAACCUACCCUAUGCAGGGGGAUAACAUUUGGAAACAAAUGCUAAUACCGCAUAACCUAGGAGUUUCGCAUGAAACACUUAGCAAAGAUUUAUCGGCAUAGGAUGGACCCGCGUUGGAUUAGCUAGUUGGUGAGAUAAUAGCCCACCAAGGCAACGAUCCAUAGCCGGCCUGAGAGGGUGAACGGCCACACUGGGACUGAGACACGGCCCAGACUCCUACGGGAGGCAGCAGUGGGGAAUAUUGCACAAUGGGCGCAAGCCUGAUGCAGCGACGCCGCGUGAAGGAUGAAUGUCUUCGGAUUGUAAACUUCUAUCAGCAGGGAAGAAUACCAUGACGGUACCUGACUAAGAAGCCCCGGCUAACUACGUGCCAGCCGCCGCGGUAACAC
rnacentral:rRNA from 1 species